CACCGACAUCAGCGACUCGUUUUGAGAGCCUUGUCCCACGGCUAGAUAGGCGUUCAUCCCCAGCUCUUUCAUCUGCUGUUCGCCGAUGACGCGGGUGGUGACGUGGCCGUAGGCGUCAGCCAACUGACGGGCUUGCGAUGCCAGAUAGGCGGCGUUGCAGAUAUUAGGCGGCAUGUUGCCGAGGUCUUUGGC
rfam:Lonsdalea quercina strain ATCC 29281 genome assembly, contig: Ga0052894_scaffold00008.8